UACAGAGGGUGCGAGCGUUAAUCGGAAUUAUUGGGCGUAAAGCGCACGUAGGCGGCUUGGCAAGUCGGAUGUGAAAUCCCUCGGCUCAACCAAGGAAGUGCAUCCGAAACUGCUGAGCUUGAGUACUUAAGAGGAUCGCGGAAUUCCCGGUGUAGAGGUGAAAUUCGUAGAUAUCGGGAGGAACACCAGUGGCGAAGGCGGCGAUCUGGGAAGAUACUGACGCUGAGGUGCGAAAGCGUGGGGAGCAAACAGG
rnacentral:rRNA from 1 species